GUGAAAAGUAAUUUUAAUUAUAUGGCACAGUAACAAUACAAGGACAAGAAAAUAUUUGAUUAAACAGCAAAUGUUACCAGCAGGUGAAGAAUACUCUUAAAAAUGUGGUGCCACAGGCUGAUGCAAAUUAUUGCUAAGGAUUUUCCCAUGGAAAUUUUCAAACUUGAUGAGGUCAUUACAUCUCUGAAGGAAUAUCACAAAACAAAAAGGUAAAAUCUAAGGAAAUAGAUGAUGUAAAAUAGAAGAUAAAAUGUGAUCUUGUAAUCUGGUAGAACUCAGGAAUGAAAUAUAUAUAUAUAUAUAUUAAGAUAUAUAAAUCAUCAGUACAGAAAUAAAGCUCAGUUAAAAAAACCACAAAAUUGAUUAUACAUAGGGAAACGCAGUAAGGGACAGACGCCAGAAAAGAGUAAAGCAAUCAAAUUGAAACUGAAAUUAAAGGUUAAAGAAGAUUAGAGAUAAGCUCAAAAUAAUGAAAGAAAAUAAACACUAAUAAUAUAUCUCUCAAGAAACUUUGUUGAGAUCCAAGAACAUAUUGAAUAUACUCAUUGAAAUUUCCCAUGUGUCUUGGAAACUUGAACACUUAACACAGAACAUUCAGCACUGAGAUAUAUUUUUUCAAAAGUCGUUAAACUUUAAUUGUAAAGAAAUAAAUCUUGAGUAACCAGGAAUAGGGAAGGAAGCACUUAUUGUUAGUAUCACCAUAUAUCUCUGGCUUUUCCUGAGGUGUGGGGGAGAAGGCAGUUCCAGUUUAUGGUGUUUGUUCCAAUAUAAUUACUAAUAGAACACUUUGUUACUCUUAGAAUUGCCCCUUUGAACAAUACAUUUUACAACAGUCAUCCUGAUAAGGAGGGAAGAAAUCAAAAUGGAAUCAUGUCUUUCCACAGUAAGUAAAGAAUCAUCUAUAAGUUUCUAUUCAGCCAAAAUUAUAACCAAUUGUAAAGGUCAGGGAAAAACAGUUCUGAUUUGCAAGCAAUCAACAACAAACAUACAACUUCACUGUAUGUUUCCCUGAAGCUAUCUUGAGGAAACUUAGAAAAGUCAAACAUGAAAUAAUGAAAAUGAAGAGAUUUCCUCAAUACUAUCUGACUAUAUUAGCCCAUAUGCCAUCGUUAUACUUGAUGGAGAAAGACUAAAGACACUUCCACAAAGCGUUUGCAAAACAAUUGCUCACCUUCAUCAUUAACAUAAUGACAGAAGAGGAAUUACAGGGACAUAAGAUUUGGAAAGGCUAAAUUAUUACUUUUUGCAGGUGUUUCAUUUGUAUAUCUGUAAAAAAACAAGAAAAUCACUGAAAACUAAUACAAAAAAGAUUGUUCCAAAGGAUGAUAUAAAUUAAUAUGCAAAAUAUAGAUUUCAUGUAAACUAACAUUAAACAGCUUAGAGCUAUAAUUUAAAAGAUUCAUUUUUCAUAAGCAAUAAAGAAAAAUAAAAUAUCUAGGAAUCAAAAGAAAUAUGCAAGAUUAUAUGAAGAAACGUGCCAUAAAAACAUGCACAACCAUAUGAAAGAAAUGCUGCUUAAAUGAAUAACUUACUAAAAGCCUGGGUUAGGGCCUUAAUGUUAUAAAUAUGUCAAUUUCCUUGAAGUUAAUUUUAAGUUAAUUUGUAAAUGUAAUGAGUUUCCAAUAAAAAUGCCAAUGGGAUUUGAAGCACUAGAAAAGUGGAUGCUAUGCUCAUGUGGAAAAAUAAGCAAAAAUAGGAAAGAAAUUCUGAAAAAAAAGAGCAAUAAUGGAAGGAUUAGCUUGAUUAGAUAUUAAAACCUUGUAUUUAAAGCUUCCAAGCUGCAGUCAAAACAGUGUGAUACGGGUACAUAAAUAGACAAACGGACCAUUAUAUAAGAAUAAAGAAAUGUAGAUAUAGUCUUAGGUCGGUAUUUUAAAAGGUAGAAUAUUAAAUAAAUGGAAUAAUUUUGCUGCCAUCUUUAAAAAAUAAAAUUGAUUUAUGUGUGCUAAGCCACUUCAGCCAUGUCCAUCUCUUUGCAACCCUAUGGACCAUAGCUCAGCAGGCACCAUUUUCCAUGGGAUUCUCCAGGCAUGAAUACUGGAAUGGGUUGUUAUGCCUUCCUCCAGGGGAUCUUCCUGACCCAGGGAUUUAACCCACAUCUCUUACAUCUCCUGCAUUGGCAGGCAAAUUCGUUACCAUUAGCACCACCUGGGAAGUCCCAAAAUUGAUUUAUAUUCAUACAAUAUUCUAGUAAUGAGUUCUAAGGGAUCAAAAUAUUUAAAUUUUUAAACGAGUCAAUAAAAGCACUAGAGAAAAUCUUAGGGAUAUUCCUUUAUAACCUUGAAAUGAUGCCAGUUUUCUAACCAAUCGAUAAAAUCAACAAUAUACAGCAAGCAUAUUUUCCAACAACAAAGGUAUGAAACUAGAAUCAACUCCAGAAAGAAAACUGGAAAAAUGAGAAAUGUAGACAUUAAACAAUAUGCUAUUAAGAAACGAAAGGGAUAGAGACAAAAUCAAAGAAGAAUAUUUAAAAAUCUUGAGAUGAAUGAAAAUGCAAACAUAUCUUUCCAAAAUCUAUGGCAUGCAGAAAAAAAUGUUUCUAAGAGGGAAUUUAAUGGUGGUACAAGCCUACCUCUGGAGAUAAGAAAAAUCUAAAAGAAUCCUUCUAAUUUUCUAUUUAAAGGAAACAGAAAAAAGCCCAAAGUCAGUAGAAGAAAGGAAAUAAUAAAUAUCAGAGCUG
rnacentral:lncRNA from 1 species